rnacentral:misc_RNA from 1 species
AAUUCUCAAAUCAUCAGGUUUAUUCUUGGUGAUCUUGGUCUUGGGCGUUGUUGGAUGGCUUGCCGUUCAACUCGUCCGAAAUGUAUUAGCUGGGCUUACGACUUGUUAGUCUACCUUUGAUGUGAUAAGUAUUGAUCGUCACUGGUACAAAGUUGAAGUCUGCUUCUAAUCGUCUCUCGUAGACAAACAUACUUGACA